UACGAAGGGGGCUAGCGUUGUCCGGAAUCACUGGGCUUAAAGCGUACGUAGGCGGAUUUGCAAGUCAGGAGUGAAAUCCCGGGGCUCAACCCCGGAACUGCUUUUGAAACUGCAAGUCUAGAGUCCCGGAGAGGUUGUCGGAAUUCCGAGUGUAGAGGUGAAAUUCGCAGAUAUUCGGAGGAACACCAGUGGCGUAGGCGGCCAACUGGACGGGAACUGACGCUGAGGUACGAAAGCGUGGGGAGCAAACAGG
rnacentral:misc_RNA from 1 species